rnacentral:rRNA from 1 species
AAUGAACGUUGGCGGCGUGGAUUAGGCAUGCAAGUCGAGCGAGAAGCCUUCUUCGGAAGGUGGACAGCGGCAAACGGGGUAGUAAGGCAUCGGUAACGUACCCCCAGGACCGGGAUAGCCGUGGGAAACUGCGGGUAAUACCGGAUAAUAUCUCCGGAUCAAAUGGUGAGAUUCCGCCUGGGGACCGGCUGAUGUGAUACCAGCUAGUUGGUAAGGUAACGGCUUACCAAGGCUUAGACGUCUAGGGGGUGUGAGAGCAUGGCCCCCACCACUGGGACUGAGACACUGCCCAGACACCUACGGGUGGCUGCAGUCGAGAAUCUUCGGCAAUGGGCGAAAGCCUGACCGAGCGACGCCGCGUGCGGGAUGACGGCCCUUGGGUUGUAAACCGCUGUCAGAGGGGAUGAAAUAUAGGAAGGCUAUCCUUCCUAUUUGACAAAGCCUCAGAGGAAGCCCGGGCUAAGUACGUGCCAGCCGCCGCCGUAACAC